CGCAUCUGUGCAUGCAGCAUAUCAAUAAGCGGAGGAAAAGAAACUAACAAGGAUUCCCCUAGUAACGGCGAGUGAAGCGGGAAGAGCUCAAAUUUGAAAUCUUAAAGGGUUUCCCUUUACGAAUUGUAGUUUAAAGAAGUGUUUUCUGUUGAGGUUUUGGUAAAAGUUCUUUGGAAUAGGACAUCAUAGAGGGUGAGAAUCCCGUAUUUGACCUUUACUUUCAACUUUGUGAUACACUUUCAAAGAGUCGGAUUGUUUGGGAAUGCAGUCCAAAAUGGGUGGUAAAUUUCAUCUAAAGCUAAAUAUUGGCGAGAGACCGAUAGCGAACAAGUACCGUGAGGGAAAGAUGAAAAGAACUUUGAAAAGAGAGUUAAACAGUACGUGAAAUUGUCAAAAGGGAAGCGUUUGACACCAGUGUUGUUUUUCUGAAAAUCAAUUAAAGAACUGUUUAUGCUAAGCUGUUUAGACUUUAUCAGCUAACUGUUUAGUUUUGAGCUUUUCUUUAAUGCACUUUUCAGUUAACAAGUCAACAUCAAUUUCUUUUGCUGUAAAAAAGCUUGAGGAAGGUGGCUUGAGACUCGUCUUAAGUGUUUAUAGCCUCUUGCCUAUGCAGUCGGAGAGAUUGAGGUCUGCAGCGUAGAUCCUUCGGGGCUAAAUGCAUUUGUGCUAAGUUAUAGCAUUUCAUAGACAACUUGUUGACUAUGAUUUGUCUUGUAGCUUACUCGCUUAUGUUAUUUUACCUACGCUUAGGAUGUUGACAGCAGUAUAGACUGU
rnacentral:rRNA from 1 species